GGAAGGAUCAUUAACGAAUUGUAAUGGGGGUUGAUGCUGGCGAAUACCCUUGCAAGUGCUCGCUCCUAACAAUUUUAUCCAAACACCUGUGCACCACUUGAGGAAAGGGAUUUCAAGUAGAUUUAUCUUGAAUUUCUUUCUUCUUCUACACAUACACUGAUUACAAUGUUGAACGUGCUCGUGCCUAUUAAAGGCCUUAAUAAAUUAUAACUUUUAACAACGGAUCUCUUGGCUCUUGCAUCGAUGAAGAACGCAGCGAAAUGCGAUAAGUAAUGUGAAUUGCAGAAUUCAGUGAAUCAUCGAAUCUUUGAACGCACCUUGCGCUCCCUGGUAUUCCGGGGAGCACACCUGUUCGAGUGUCUUGAAAUUGUCAAGCUGAGAUACUUUUGUCAAAAAGUAAUCUUAGCUUGGUUAUUGGGCUCUGCCAUGUCCUACUAUUGGAAUGGCUGGCCUUAAAAGCAUUAGCUGACCCUCAUGUAACAUCGAUUCUACUCGGCGUGAUAAUAAUAAUCUUAUCGCUUGAGGACAUCUUUUGUUUGGGCUGCUUUCUAAUCUGGCAUUGCGGAUUUUCACGAAUCUGUUGUUCCGCCUUCAAAUUUGACCUCGAAUCAGGUGGGACUACCCGCUGAACUUAAGCAUAUCAAUAAGCGGAGGAAAAGAAACUAACAAGGAUUCCCCUAGUAACGGCGAGUGAAGAGGGAAAAGCUCAAAUUUAAAAUCUGGCAGUCUUCGAUUGUCCGAGUUGUAAUCUAGAGAAGUGUUUUCCGCGUUGGACUGUGUACAAGUUUCCUGGAUACGGAACAUCAUAGAGGGUGAGAAUCCCGUCCUUGACACAGACUCCCAGUGCUCUGUGAUGCGCUCUCGACGAGUCGAGUUGUUUGGGAUUGCAGCUCAAAAUGGGAGGUAAAUUCCUUCUAAAGCUAAAUAUUGGCAAGAGACCGAUAGCGAACAAGUACCGUGAGG
rnacentral:rRNA from 1 species